AUACCUUUCUCGGCCUUUUGGCUAAGAUCAAGUGUAGUAUCUGUUCUUAUCAGUUUAAUAUCUGAUACGUGGGCCAAUGGCUCACACGAUAUUAAAUUAAUUUUUUUAGGGGGAGGGUCCGUAACAAUAGCUUGCUAUUGGGGUUCUCGAGCGUCGCCUUUGCGUUGCACUAAAGCAUUGGCCUGGCGCACCCCCC
rnacentral:snRNA from 1 species